GGGCUCAGAUGGCCAGAUUCAGAGUCAGUUGCCUGGGAGAGUCAGGUGUGACCACUCUUGUUAAGGAGCGAGAGGCUGAGCUAAUUAUAGUCAUUAAAGCUUCCUAUUUACAUAACACCUCUCGGGCAGAAGCAACACAGAGCAUGUUUCCAGGGCCGUGCAGCAAAGCUGUCCAGCUCACACACUGCUGUGCGGCUGCUUCCCUGGAGGCUUGGAGCAGAGGCUGGGAAGUCGCACGUGUCCACAUCACACUGGACCACCUCAGAGGCAGGGCAGGAGGAAGCAGUCAAGGUGAGCAGCAGCCAGGCCUCCAAAGAGCCUAAAGUGGGCUCCUUCCAACUCCCAAGAAAUCCACAGCCUGACUACGCCCUCGCAUUGGAGAAGAAACCAGAGAAGGAUCGGAGUUUACUCCUGCAUGGGAGACUUCUUUCUGUCUAUCCUUGGAAAGAAGUGAAACCUCCGAGGGCUAAGGUCACAUGCUCAGUGGUCUUGACGUCUCCCUCCCGGAAACUCGCCACAUCAUAAACCCUGCAGGAUGUUUCCCUUGGGGCCUUUUCUUCUCUUGCCACCUCGGUCUUCACCCUGGCCUCCUGGGUUCCUGGCUGCCACCACUGCAGAUCCGUGGUCGGCCUGCGAGGCACCAGGACCUGAAGCCCUCGCGAAAGCUGCUCGUUAAUUCACUUGAUGGGCCGACUCCAGAUGCAGCCAGACCCAUUAGGAGACAAUGGUUCAUUUGGUGCCUCAGCUCCUCUGUAAUGAAGCGAGAAUAUGUGGGGUCCCCUGGCUGCUGGGAUGAAGCACAGGGAGGGGAGGCACCCCCCGCCCCUGCAAGACUUGGCUCCCGCCUUGAAACAGAAUUGGAAUCAGAGGGUCCAGACACCUCCUUUCUCGGAGUCGCGCACGUCACACCCCCGGAGAGAGAGACGGGGCCGUUCCCCCUCCAUCCUGCAGCCGAGCCAGUCCUGCAUUCGAACUGUCUGGUGGCGUCCCUACCGUUCGGAGGGUGAGAUCGGGGCUCUCGGGCACGAGCUGGGAGAACCUUCUGUCUGGCUGCAGACUCCGUGCGGCCUCAUCUGUCCCCAGCGUCCACCGUUCCCGUCGGAUCAGACCCCCUCCUCCGCCAGCACGUGCCCUUUGCUUUCUUCACCACGUGCCUUUGCAAAUCUAAUUUCCUCAACCUAAAAUGCCCUGCUUUGCCGUCACCGUAUCAGUCCAUCAGAAUCCUACAUGAAAGACCCAGGAAAAUGUCAUGUCCGCGCCGUAAAAUAUUCUUAUUUCCUCUAACAGAAAGUAAUUUCCUGUUAUUAUUUGUCUUCUUAUUCUAUUCAACCUGGACUUGAGGUUGUAUAAUUGUGUUUCUUAAAAGUCUCUCAUUACAGGAUUGUGAACUCCCUGCAUGGGGUCACCACUUUCUUGUUCAUCUCUCUCCUCCGGAGUGUCUCAUAUGGAAUCUUGAGUAUCUGAGGGACCCUGGAAGUGUUUGCUGUGCCGCCCCAGGACUACUCCGAGCACUGAUUCUAAGAGGAUAUGGGUUUUCCUUAGGGUCACC
ensembl:lncRNA